rnacentral:tRNA from 1 species
GUGGGUGUAGCUCAGUUGGUCUAGAGCGCAGGAUUGUGGCUCCUGAGGCCGUGGGUUCAAAUCCCAUCACCCACC